CUACUGCUACUACCAGAGAAUGUCUAAUAUGAGGAGAACUGGCACUCGCGGGUUAGUUCCGGGUUUCUGGACUGGUUGCAGUAAUAAUCUUUGACCACGCGGGGCGCUCGUAGGCGAGUCCAGAAUGAAUGGGAGCCAACGGGGUUUUAUCCUCAGAAUCCACUUUUCUCACGAUGUAAUUUUUUGUCAAGUAAUUUUAAAGUUGCUAUCAAAGGGUGGGGCUAAGAUAAUAAACUCAGCUGAAUAUUGCAUUUUUUAAGGUCACGUAUCUGUUCUAAAAAGGCGUUAAAAACAUGCGAUGACGUCACACACUGUAAUACUGUCAGAGGUACUACUUUACGGCAGUUUCUAAAGCACUUCCCUUGUCCCGCAACGAUAACACCAGCUGUUGGAGUCGGACCUUGAUGCUGUGACAACGGACAAGUCUUCUUCCUCUGUCCUUUUCCCCUGCCUCUGUUCAGUAUGUUCAGUGUUGUUAAAUCAUUUAUCUUUUUUUUUUAUUAGUUACUGUUCUUAUUGUGUUCUUGUUAGUGUGAUGUUUGAAUAAACUUGCCUGUUGCAA